rnacentral:rRNA from 1 species
AGUGAACGCUGGCGGUAGGCCUAACACAUGCAAGUCGAACGGCAGCACAGGAGAGCUUGCUCUCUGGGUGGCGAGUGGCGGACGGGUGAGGAAUACAUCGGAAUCUGCCCAGUCGUGUGGGAUAACGUAGGGAAACUUACGCUAAUACCGCAUACGACCUUCGGGUGAAAGAGGGGGAUCGCAAGACCUCUCGCGAUUGGAUGAGCCGAUGUCGGAUUAGCUAGUUGGCGGGGUAAUGGCCCACCAAGGCGACGAUCCGUAGCUGGUCUGAGAGGAUGAUCAGCCACACUGGAACUGAGACACGGUCAAGACUCCUACGGGAGGCAGCAGUGGGGAAUAUUGGACAAUGGGCGCAAGCCUGAUCCAGCCAUACCGCGUGGGUGAAGAAGGCCUUCGGGUUGUAAAGACCUUUUGUUGGGAAAGAAAUCUUUCAGGCUAAUACCCUGGGAGGAUGACGGUACCCAAAGAAUAAGCACCGACUAACUUCGUG